rnacentral:misc_RNA from 1 species
CCGGGCUGGGGAUGCGUCUUUGAUCGUUCUCUGCCUCCAUCUAGCCUGUGAACGGUUGAUUGACUUCGGUCAAUUACUUUUACAAACAUUGUGUAAGGAACGUCAUGUUAUUAUAACAAAAAUAACUUUCAACAACGGAUCUCUUGGCUCUCGCAUCGAUGAAGAACGCAGCACGGCGCGCGGCGUGUAACGCAUUUAAUAUAUGGCUUUCCGCAACGGAUCUCUGGACUCGCGCAUCCAUAGUGGGUGACACCUUUAAUAUGAGAGUAACGACUCUCGGUUGGGGUAUCUCAG